ACAAGCUGCACACGAGCCACUUCACGCUGAACCAUCCAAGCGCUCGCGAGAAAUCGACGACGUAUGCGAAAGAUAGACGUUGACUACUCAGAAACACGUCUGUUUCACGAAAUUGUUUUCAAUUUCGACGUUAUUUUGGAGUAAACAUACAUUCAUUUGACAGUUGUUGAAUUUCAAAUCGUUUCUGUUUUGAAUUCGCUUGAGGAGUAACGUUACCGCCUAAUACAGAGCGUUUUCCUUAGAAUCUUACUGUUGGGUCAAGUCCUUUUGACGGUUUAAUCAUGAAGGAGGCCAGCCCUGGGCGUCAAAGUGAGGGUGUGAAGCUCAUCUUUGAUCAGAAGGCUCCAUCUGGUCGGAGCUCCUCUCGUUCCUCAAGCAGCAGCAGUGACAGCUCGUGUGACAGCUCAUACUCCAGCAGUAGGGGCAGCCGCUCCUACCGCAGGUCACGGAGUUCAUCACGGAGCUCAUCCUCCGACAGCGGCUCUUCCUCACGCUCUCGCUCACGUUCCCGCUCCCGCUCCCAUCCACGCUGCUCUGGCCGCUCACAUUGCCGUCACAGACACCAUUCUCCUCCUCGCCGCUACCGGGCUCGCUCCCGCUCCUACAGCCCUUCUCCUGAGCACUCUUCCCACCGCAGACGCUACCAUCGCCGCAGUCGCUCUCCAUCCCCUUACAGCCACUCUAGACGCUACAGGCGUUCUCCAUCACGAUCCCGGUCUCGUAGCCGUUCACGCAGCCGCUCUCCGGGCUACUGGAGGGGAAGCAGGUUCGUGGGGAGGUACCGGUGCCGUUUUUCCCACUCUCCCAGGGGCUCCAGAGAUUACAGAAGCCGCUCUCGCAGCCGUGAACGCUCUUCGGUCCGCCUCAGCCUUGAGGAGAAGAAGUAUCUGCUGAAUGUGGCCAAAGCAAAUGCCGCCAGGAUUCUGGGAGUGCAGAACUUAGAGCUGCCAGCUAGCCUGAAGGAGCUGGAGGAGGAAGAGAAAAGGAGAUCUUCAUCAGAUAAUGCGGAAAGGGUGAGCGCUGACCAAGCAUCACAGAAGACACCCGCACAGGUGAGCCUCUCACACACGCAUACAGACAUGUUACUAACACAUCCAGUGUUUGUUUGACUUCUGUAAUGUUGCAUGAACGUCCUGAGUGCUUGACAGUAUUCUGACUUGUACUUCAAAUUACAUCUGUGAUCUCGGGACGUUGACUAACCCAUUGAAACGCGUCUAUUUAAAAUGUGAUUGCGCGCUGUACUUACCCAACCUGGGUCACCAUGUAAUCUGUCUCCUCAGACGUGAAUGAUUUUACCUGAUGGAUUUAAUGGAAUGAUGAACAGCACUUGUCCGGAUUAGAGAUGAAACUCCUCCACCCUUUGGACAAAGAGGGAGAGAGGGGGAGGUCACAUGACUUGAAUGACACCAGCUUUAAGUCUUAUGUGCACAACUGCAAAGGUUAAGUAAUUGGGUACAAUGUCAGCGGUAGCCUUGUUGAACAAAAACCAACCACAUGCAUUUGUGUGAUUUACCUCUUUCAGCAACACUUUCAGCCAACACACAACAGCACAUAUGCGGAAGAGUCUGGGGUCAGUAGAUUUUUUUUUUUUAAGUAAAUACUUUCAGCAAGGAUGCAUUGAAUUGAUCAAAAGUGACAGUAAAGAUAUUUAUAAUGUUAAAAAUAAAUACUGUUCUUAAAUAAUCCUGAAAAACAUAUCAAGGUUUUUACAAAUAUAUUAACCAGCACACUUGUUUCAACACUAGUAAGUAUUUCUUAAGUAGCAAAUCAGCAUAUUAGAAUGAUUUUUGAAGGAUCAUGUGACACUGAAGUAAUAGAGUAAUGCUGCUGAAAAUUUAACUUUACAUCACAGGAAUUAAUUAAAUUGUAAAAAUAUUCAAGUAGAAAAGUUAUUUUAAUUUGUAAUUAUAUUUCACCUUUUUACUGUAUUUUUGAUCAAAUAAAUACAGCCUUAUUGAGUAUGAGACUUUUCAAAAACAUUAAAAAAAAAAAAAUCAUACAGACCCCAAACUUUUGAACGGUAGUGUAUCUUUACAACUAUAGGAAAUUACUUAUGUUUGCUGAUGGUUGAACUGGGUUGCGUUGUCAUUUACCAAAAUCUUCCUCUGUUCAGCGAGUGUGAAGACCAGAGAGAGCUCGCUCUACGAUGACGGAUGGGGGUUUGGAAAAAUACACUCUCAUCAAUUAGUAUUUUUUUUUUUUUUUUUUUUUUUUUUUUUUUUUUUUUU